ACCACAGAAGGUAAUAGUCCUGUAUGUUAAACGAGAAGACUUUAGAUAUGAUCCAGAGUACCACGGGACACGUGAAACCCUGUGGGAAGCAGGAGGGACCACCCUCCAAGGCUAAAUACUACCUAGUGACCGAUAGCGUAUAGUACCGUGAGGGAAAGGUGAAAAGAACCCCGGGAGGGGAGUGAAAUAGAACCUGAAACCCUGCACUUACAAGCUGUGGAAGCACAUUUCUUGUGUGACCGCGUACUUUUUGUAGAACGGGCCAACGAGUUACGUUAAGUAGCAAGGUUAAGCACUUAAGGUGCGGAGCCGUAGCGAAAGCGAGUUUUAACUGAGCGUUCAGUUACUUGACGUAGACCCGAAACCGGGCGACCUACCCAUGAGCAGGAUGAAGCGAAAGUAAAAUUUCGUGGAGGUCCGAACCCACGAGCGUUGAAAAGCUCGGGGAUGACUUGUGGGUAGCGGUGAAAUUCCAAUCGAACCCGGAGCUCGCUGGUUCUCCCCGAAAUAGCUUUAGGGCUAGCCUCAAGGUGAGAGAUACAGAGGUAGAACACUGAAUGUCCUAGGGGGGAUUGCACCUACCGAA
rnacentral:rRNA from 1 species